CUGUGGUUAAAGUUGAAACAAAUUCAUGGUUUCAAUGGGUCAGGUCAAAGUACCCUACGCAUAGGCCGGAAGAGACAUUAUCCAGAAAACUCGAUUUCAUGUCAUGUCUUAAUGAGCCUGACUCAAAAGAGAAAAUAAGACCAGACUAAAAGACCAUCGUCUCAAUGAAUAUCUGUACUGGGACACUCAGGCUAACAUUAUUUCUGUAAUCUAGUCUGCAUAGAGGUCUCAAGGAUUUUAAGCACUUGCUGGUCUUGAAAGAAAAUGCAUUCUGAUAUUCCCUUAAAACUCCAAACCACAGCAAACACAAACACCUAUGCAAGAUUUUAUGAUCUCUCUCCCUGGACAAAACCCUAAUAUGAUCCCAAAAUGUGAUCUUCAUAACUAUCAUGAUUCACAUAAUCCUCUCCAUUUUGAUCAAAACCUACAUCGUAAUUCUCACAACUCUCAUUACUUUGAUCAACCCCAUAUCCAGAACUAGAAGUGGACCCAUUAGUUUCAAUCACAGACCUCCUUCCAGACCCAGAACCAAUGAAGCAACCCCUAAAGUAGCUUAAGUUCUUGGAACAGGUAUACUAGACAAAAACCCUUCACUGAAGAAGAAUCAGAUUGCAAAAAAGUCUCAUUCUGUUUUCUUUUCCUCUCCUUUCCCUCCUCAUCCUCCUCAUCCAAAAUCGAGUGCCUGUUAAUGGGAGGCUUAAACUGAACAACCCUUUUAGGAUUAGCAUUUAAAGGCGUGAAACUUGAUAUGGGUUGCUGUGAAGUUUCAGUUUUUGGCUGUGGAAAUGAAGAGAAAAGCUUAAGAUGGAAGAUUUGAAGGGACCCCAAAUCUAUAGUAAGCCAGCACGAUUCUCGUCCAUGGAGUCACCACAAGUUAGCCUUGCCCGGUACUGAAGAAAUAAAGAUGCACGAAGAACAGAUGAUAUAGUUUGGCUCUCGUUGCCAGGGCCCAGGUGGGUAUGUUAAUGAAAACUAUUUUACAUAAUCAUUGAUAGAAAUGUAUAAAGUUAUGUAUAGUUUUUUGAUAUUAUAUAGAGGGGUCGGAGAUACUUGAUUGUGAUUACUUAGUUUAGAGUAUAAACAAGAUAUCGGAAAUUAAAAUUUAUAUAAAUUUUACUGACUUU